UGUGUGUGUUAGUGGAAGCGUCUGGAAAGGCGCGCGAUACAGGGUGACAGCCCCGUACACAAAAAUGCACAUGCUGUGAGCUCGAUGAGUAGGGCGGGACACGUGGUAUCCUGUCUGAAUAUGGGGGGACCAUCCUCCAAGGCUAAAUACUCCUGACUGACCGAUAGUGAACCAGUACCGUGAGGGAAAGGCGAAAAGAACCCCGGCGAGGGGAGUGAAAAAGAACCUGAAACCGUGUACGUACAAGCAGUGGGAGCACGCUUAGGCGUGUGACUGCGUACCUUUUGUAUAAUGGGUCAGCGACUUAUAUUCUGUAGCAAGGUUAACCGAAUAGGGGAGCCGAAGGGAAACCGAGUCUUAACUGGGCGUUAAGUUGCAGGGUAUAGACCCGAAACCCGGUGAUCUAGCCAUGGGCAGGUUGAAGGUUGGGUAACACUAACUGGAGGACCGAACCGACUAAUGUUGAAAAAUUAGCGGAUGACUUGUGGCUGGGGGUGAAAGGCCAAUCAAACCGGGAGAUAGCUGGUUCUCCCCGAAAGCUAUUUAGGUAGCGCCUCGUGAAUUCAUCUCCGGGGGUAGAGCACUGUUUCGGCAAGGGGGUCAUCCCGACUUACCAACCCGAUGCAAACUGCGAAUACCGGAGAAUGUUAUCACGGGAGACACACGGCGGGUGCUAACGUCCGUCGUGAAGAGGGAAACAACCCAGACCGCCAGCUAAGGUCCCAAAGUCAUGGUUAAGUGGGAAACGAUGUGGGAAGGCCCAGACAGCCAGGAUGUUGGCUUAGAAGCAGCCAUCAUUUAAAGAAAGCGUAAUAGCUCACUGGUCGAGUCGGCCUGCGCGGAAGAUGUAACGGGGCUAAACCAUGCACCGAAGCUGCGGCAGCGACGCUUAUGCGUUGUUGGGUAGGGGAGCGUUCUGUAAGCCUGUGAAGGUGUGCUGUGAGGCAUGCUGGAGGUAUCAGAAGUGCGAAUGCUGACAUAAGUAACGAUAAAGCGGGUGAAAAGCCCGCUCGCCGGAAGACCAAGGGUUCCUGUCCAACGUUAAUCGGGGCAGGGUGAGUCGACCCCUAAGGCGAGGCCGAAAGGCGUAGUCGAUGGGAAACAGGUUAAUAUUCCUGUACUUGGUGUUACUGCGAAGGGGGGACGGAGAAGGCUAUGUUGGCCGGGCGACGGUUGUCCCGGUUUAAGCGUGUAGGCUGGUUUUCCAGGCAAAUCCGGAAAAUCAAGGCUGAGGCGUGAUGACGAGGCACUACGGUGCUGAAGCAACAAAUGCCCUGCUUCCAGGAAAAGCCUCUAAGCAUCAGGUAACAUCAAAUCGUACCCCAAACCGACACAGGUGGUCAGGUAGAGAAUACCAAGGCGCUUGAGAGAACUCGGGUGAAGGAACUAGGCAAAAUGGUGCCGUAACUUCGGGAGAAGG
rnacentral:rRNA from 1 species